GCCUACUGUUUAAUUUUGAGGGUUCGUUUUUACGGAUACUCAAAAUUAGCACUUUGAAAACUGCAUAUAUAUUUAGUGAUAUGACAUCUAAUUUGUAAUAUAUAAAGCUGAUAACUUUUUAAAAUUAUCGAAGUUGAUAGCUUCUAAUCUAUCAAAUCUUUUUAACUGGUCAAGUUAUUAAGGGUGCAGGGCGGAUGCCUUUUAGUGAUAUGACAUCUAAUUUGUAAUAUAUAAAGCUGAUAACUUUUUAAAAUUAUCGAAGUUGAUAGCUUCUAAUCUAUCAAACCUUUUUAACUGGUCAA
rnacentral:misc_RNA from 1 species